AGCGUACACGGUGGAUGCCCUGGCAGUCAGAGGCGAUGAAGGACGUGCUAAUCUGCGAUAAGCGUCGGUGAGGUGAUAUGAACCGUUAUAACCGGCGAUUUCCGAAUGGGGAAACCCAGUGUGUUUCGACACACUAUCAUUAACUGAAUCCAUAGGUUAAUGAGGCGAACCGGGGGAACUGAAACAUCUAAGUACCCCGAGGAAAAGAAAUCAACCGAGAUUCCCCCAGUAGCGGCGAGCGAACGGGGAGGAGCCCAGAGCCUGAAUCAGUGUGUGUGUUAGUGGAAGCGUCUGGAAAGGCGUGCGAUACAGGGUGACAGCCCCGUACACAAAAAUGCACAUAUUGUGAGCUCGAUGAGUAGGGCGGGACACGUGGUAUCCUGUCUGAAUAUGGGGGGACCAUCCUCCAAGGCUAAAUACUCCUGACUGACCGAUAGUGAACCAGUACCGUGAGGGAAAGGCGAAAAGAACCCCGGCGAGGGGAGUGAAAAAGAACCUGAAACCGUGUACGUACAAGCAGUGGGAGCCUCUUAAUGGGGUGACUGCGUACCUUUUGUAUAAUGGGUCAGCGACUUAUAUUCUGUAGCAAGGUUAACCGAAUAGGGGAGCCGAAGGGAAACCGAGUCUUAACUGGGCGUUAAGUUGCAGGGUAUAGACCCGAAACCCGGUGAUCUAGCCAUGGGCAGGUUGAAGGUUGGGUAACACUAACUGGAGGACCGAACCGACUAAUGUUGAAAAAUUAGCGGAUGACUUGUGGCUGGGGGUGAAAGGCCAAUCAAACCGGGAGAUAGCUGGUUCUCCCCGAAAGCUAUUUAGGUAGCGCCUCGUGAAUUCAUCUCCGGGGGUAGAGCACUGUUUCGGCAAGGGGGUCAUCCCGACUUACCAACCCGAUGCAAACUGCGAAUACCGGAGAAUGUUAUCACGGGAGACACACGGCGGGUGCUAACGUCCGUCGUGAAGAGGGAAACAACCCAGACCGCCAGCUAAGGUCCCAAAGUCAUGGUUAAGUGGGAAACGAUGUGGGAAGGCCCAGACAGCCAGGAUGUUGGCUUAGAAGCAGCCAUCAUUUAAAGAAAGCGUAAUAGCUCACUGGUCGAGUCGGCCUGCGCGGAAGAUGUAACGGGGCUAAACCAUGCACCGAAGCUGCGGCAGCGACACUAUGUGUUGUUGGGUAGGGGAGCGUUCUGUAAGCCUGUGAAGGUGGCCUGUGAGGGUUGCUGGAGGUAUCAGAAGUGCGAAUGCUGACAUAAGUAACGAUAAAGCGGGUGAAAAGCCCGCUCGCCGGAAGACCAAGGGUUCCUGUCCAACGUUAAUCGGGGCAGGGUGAGUCGACCCCUAAGGCGAGGCCGAAAGGCGUAGUCGAUGGGAAACAGGUUAAUAUUCCUGUACUUGGUGUUACUGCGAAGGGGGGACGGAGAAGGCUAUGUUGGCCGGGCGACGGUUGUCCCGGUUUAAGCGUGUAGGCUGGUUUUCCAGGCAAAUCCGGAAAACCAAGGCUGAGGCGUGAUGACGAGGCACUACGGUGCUGAAGCGACAAAUGCCCUGCUUCCAGGAAAAGCCUCUAAGCAUCAGGUAACAUCAAAUCGUACCCCAAACCGACACAGGUGGUCAGGUAGAGAAUACCAAGGCGCUUGAGAGAACUCGGGUGAAGGAACUAGGCAAAAUGGUGCCGUAACUUCGGGAGAAGGCACGCUGAUAUGUAGGUGAAGCGACUUGCUCGUGGAGCUGAAAUCAGUCGAAGAUACCAGCUGGCUGCAACUGUUUAUUAAAAACACAGCACUGUGCAAACACGAAAGUGGACGUAUACGGUGUGACGCCUGCCCGGUGCCGGAAGGUUAAUUGAUGGGGUUAGCGGUAACGCGAAGCUCUUGAUCGAAGCCCCGGUAAACGGCGGCCGUAACUAUAACGGUCCUAAGGUAGCGAAAUUCCUUGUCGGGUAAGUUCCGACCUGCACGAAUGGCGUAAUGAUGGCCAGGCUGUCUCCACCCGAGACUCAGUGAAAUUGAACUCGCUGUGAAGAUGCAGUGUACCCGCGGCAAGACGGAAAGACCCCGUGAACCUUUACUAUAGCUUGACACUGAACAUUGAGCCUUGAUGUGUAGGAUAGGUGGGAGGCUUUGAAGUGUGGACGCCAGUCUGCAUGGAGCCGACCUUGAAAUACCACCCUUUAAUGUUUGAUGUUCUAACGUGGGCCCCUAAUCGGGGUUGCGGACAGUGUCUGGUGGGUAGUUUGACUGGGGCGGUCUCCUCCUAAAGAGUAACGGAGGAGCACGAAGGUUGGCUAAUCCUGGUCGGACAUCAGGAGGUUAGUGCAAUGGCAUAAGCCAGCUUGACUGCGAGCGUGACGGCGCGAGCAGGUGCGAAAGCAGGUCAUAGUGAUCCGGUGGUUCUGAAUGGAAGGGCCAUCGCUCAACGGAUAAAAGGUACUCCGGGGAUAACAGGCUGAUACCGCCCAAGAGUUCAUAUCGACGGCGGUGUUUGGCACCUCGAUGUCGGCUCAUCACAUCCUGGGGCUGAAGUAGGUCCCAAGGGUAUGGCUGUUCGCCAUUUAAAGUGGUACGCGAGCUGGGUUUAGAACGUCGUGAGACAGUUCGGUCCCUAUCUGCCGUGGGCGCUGGAGAACUGAGGGGGGCUGCUCCUAGUACGAGAGGACCGGAGUGGACGCAUCACUGGUGUUCGGGUUGUCAUGCCAAUGGCACUGCCCGGUAGCUAAAUGCGGAAGAGAUAAGUGCUGAAAGCAUCUAAGCACGAAACUUGCCCCGAGAUGAGUUCU
rnacentral:rRNA from 1 species